AUGGGGCGUGCAUCUUCCCAGUCUUCUGUCUUUUGGCAGUUUUACUUCUGCCUUUUCUUCAGAUCAAAGCAGAGUGAGUUUGCCUGCAUCAGUGGAAGCACUCCUUUCAUGGAGGUGCAGAUCCAGUUGGCUGUUGUGAAAUUCAUCAUGAACCACACAGACGUCCUCUUCAGCUUCAAAUCCAGCUCAGUCAUCAGAGAUGGAGCAGGCAUCUUAGAAGAUAAGAUACUCUGCCCUGGUGAAGCCUCGCCAGGAGUAUUGUGUCCAGUUCUGGGCUCCUCAGUACAAAAAAGACAGAGAUCUCCUGGAAAGAGUCCAGCAGAGGGCCACGAAGAUGAUAAAGGGCCUGGAGCACCUCUCCUAUGAGGAAAGGGUGAGCGACCUGGGUCUGUUCAGCCUUGAGAAAAGAAGACUGAGAGGGGAUCUGAUCGAUGUCUAUAAAUAUCUAAGGUGUGGGAGGCAAAGGGAUGAGGCCAGACUCUUUUCAGCAGUGUGUGGCGACAGAACAAGGGGAAAUGGCCACAAACUAAAGCAUAGGAAGUUCCACACAAAUGUGCGUAAGAACUUCUUCGUGGUAAAGGUGAGGGGGCACUGGAACAGGCUGCCCAGGGGCAUUGUGGAGUCUCCUUCUCUGGAGACGUUCAAUACCCGUCUGGACGCCUACCUGUGCAGCCUGGUCUAGGGAGCCUGCUUUGGCAGGGGCAUUGGACUCGAUGAUGUCUGGAGGUCCCUUCCAACUGCCUCAAUUCUGUGAUUCUGUUCCCUCAACCUUUCUUCAUAGGAGAGGUGCUCCAGCCCUCUGAUCAUCGUAGUGGCCCUCCUCUGGACCCGCUCCAGGAGCUCUACAUCUUUCUUGUGCUGGGGCCCUCAGGCCUGGAUGCAGUACUCCAGAUGGGGCCUCACAAGAGCCGAGUAGAGGGGGACCACCACCUCCCUCUCCCUGCUGGCCACUUCUCUUUUAAUGCAGCCCAGGAUAUCAUUGGCCUUCCAGGCUGCCAGCGCACACUGCUGGCUCAUGUCCAGCUUCUCAUCCACCAGGACCCCCAAGUCCUUCUCCGCAGGGCUGCUCUCAAGGAGUUCUUCCCCCAUUCUGUAUAAAUACCUGGGAUUGCCCCAGCCCAAGUGCAGCACCUUGCAUUUGGCCUUGUUGAAACUCACUAGGUUCACAUGGGCCCACUUCUCCAGCCUGUCCAGGUCCCUCUGGAUGGCUUCCCUUCCCCCUACUGUAUCAACUGCACUGCUCAGCUUGGUGUCGUCUGCAAACUUGCUGAGAGUGCACUUGAUUCCAUUGUUUGUGUAAUUGAUAAAGAUUUUGAAGACAUCAGUGAAGGCACCAGUCCCAAGACUGACCCUCUGGGGACGCCACUUGUUACUGGCCUCCACCCAGACAUAGAACUGUUGAUCACAGCCCUUUGGCUGCGUCCAGUCAACCGGUUCUUAAUCCAUAGAACAGACCAUCUUUCAAAUCCAUACCUCUCCAAUUUAGAGAGAAGGAUGUGGUGAGGGACCAUGUCAAAGGCUUUGCAGAAGUCCAUGUAGAUAACAUCUGUUGCCCUUCCCCUGUCCACCGAUGCCGUCACUCCAUCAUAGAAGGCCACCAGAUUGGUCAGGCAAGAUCUGCCCUUUGUGAAGCCAUAUAUAUAUUUUUAAGAGAGUGGAAAAGUAUAUGGUGGUUUCUAUUUAACCGUGGAGGAGGAAAAAAACAGUAAUAAGAAGUUUCCUGCUUCAGAGAUAAAGGAGUAAGUGAGAGGUGGGAAAUAAGUAGAGACAUUUUUCUUGGGGCCCAAGAGCUCUCAAUCCUAAUAUGCAAGAAGUCAAGCAGGGAAGGUAGGAGACCAUCUGGCAAAGUCAAGCCCUCUCUGUCAAACUAAAAACAAAAUACACAGGCAGCAGAGGCAGCAAUAUACAUUCUAGGAAAAGAACAGUGAUAUGGCUUGGAAGUGAAGGAUCAGGAGAGCACACCUGGAGCUGAACUUGGCUGGAAACGUGAAAAAUAAGAAGAGUUUAUUUAAAUACCUAAGAUCAAAAGAAGAUGAAAGAAACCACCCCCUCUGCGCUUUUCCUCUCUGGAAGAAGAUGUCCAAGAUGGUUCAGUCCAGCCGUCCACCUACCACCCAUGUUUCCCCACUAAAUCAUUCCCUUGGUUCAACAUAUAAACAUUUAUUGAACACUUCUGUGGAUGGUGAUUCAGCCACUUCCCUGGGCAGCCCAUUCCCGUGCCUGAACACUCUUUUAGAGAAUAAAUUCUUCCUAAUAUCCA
rnacentral:lncRNA from 1 species